rnacentral:rRNA from 1 species
AAAGAAUAAGCACCGGCUAACUACGUGCCAGCAGCCGCGGUAAUACGUAGGGUGCGAGCGUUAAUCGGAAUUACUGGGCGUAAAGCGGGCGCAGACGGUUACUUAAGCAGGAUGUGAAAUCCCCGGGCUCAACCUGGGAACUGCGUUCUGAACUGGGUAGCUAGAGUAUGUCAGAGGGGGGUAGAAUUCCACGUGUAGCAGUGAAAUGCGUAGAGAUGUGGAGGAAUACCGAUGGCGAAGGCAGCCCCCUGGGAUAGCACUGACGUUCAUGCCCGAAAGCGUGGGUAGCAAACAGGAUUAGAUACCCUGGUAGUCCACGCCCUAAACGAUGUCGAUUAGCUGUUGGGCAGCUUGACUGCUUAGUAGCGUAGCUAACGCGUGAAAUCGACCGCCUGGGGAGUACGGUCGCAAGAUUAAAACUCAAAGGAAUUGACGGGGACCCGCACAAGCGGUGGAUGAUGUGGAUUAAUUCGAUGCAACGCGAAGAACCUUACCUGGUCUUGACAUGUACGGAACCUUCCAGAGACGGAAGGGUGCCUUCGGGAACCGUAACACAGGUGCUGCAUGGCUGUCGUCAGCUCGUGUCGUGAGAUGUUGGGUUAAGUCCCGCAACGAGCGCAACCCUUGUCAUUAGUUGCCAUCAUUUAGUUGGGCACUCUAAUGAGACUGCCGGUGACAAACCGGAGGAAGGUGGGGAUGACGUCAAGUCCUCAUGGCCCUUAUGACCAGGGCUUCACACGUCAUACAAUGGUCGGUACAAAGGGUAGCCAAGCCGCGAGGCGGAGCCAAUCUCAUAAAACCGAUCGUAGUCCGGAUUGCACUCUGCAACUCGAGUGCAUGAAGUCGGAAUCGCUAGUAAUCGCAGGUCAGCAUACUGCGGUGAAUACGUUCCCGGGUCUUGUACACACCGCCCGUCACACCAUGGGAGUGGGGGAUACCAGAAGUAGGUAGGGUAACCGCAAGGAGCCCGCUUACCACGGUAUGCUUCAUGACUGGGGUGAAGUCGUAACAAGGUAGCCGUAGGGGAACCUGCGGCUG